rnacentral:tRNA from 1 species
GAAAAUGUGCCUGAAAGAUAGGGGCCUCCUUGAUAGGGAGACCCAUAGGGGUUCAAAUCCCCUCAUUUUCU